rnacentral:tRNA from 1 species
AGGCCUGUAGCUCAGUGGUAGAGCGCUUGCCUAGCACGCUGAAGCCCUGGGUUCUAGUCCCAGCGCCCUUG